rnacentral:rRNA from 1 species
AAACUUUAAACAACGGAUCUGUUGGAUCAUCGAUGAAGAACGGAGCGAAACGAGAUAAGUAAUGUGAAUUGCAGAAUCCAGUGAAUCAUCGAAUCUUUGAACGCACAUUCCGCCGCCAGCAUUCUGGCGUGCCAUGUUUGUUCGAGCGUC